AUUGAACGCUGGCGGCAGGCCUAACACAUGCAAGUCGAGCGGAGCGGCGGACGUGUGAGUAAUGCCUAGGAAUCUGCCUGGUAGUGGUGGAUAACGUCCGGAAACGGGCGCUAAUACCGCAUACUAUCAGAUGAGCCUAGGUUGGAUUAGCUAGUUGGUGGGGUAAAGGCCUACCAAGGCGACGAUCCGUAACUGGUCUGAGAGGAUGAUCAGUCACACUGGAACUGAGACACGGUCCAGACUCCUACGGGAGGCAGCAGUGGGGAAUAUUGGACAAUGGGCGAAAGCCUGAUCCAGCCAUGCCGCGUGUGUGAAGAAGGUCUUCGGAUUGUAAAGCACUUUAAGUUGGGAGGCGGUAACAACAGAAUAAGCACCGGCUAACUACGUGCCAGCAGCCGCGGUAAUAC
rnacentral:rRNA from 1 species